rnacentral:rRNA from 1 species
AUUGAACGCUGGCGGCAGGCCUAACACAUGCAAGUCGAAUGGUAACAGGAAACAGCUUGCUGUUUCGCUGACGAGUGGCGGACGGGUGAGUAAUGUCUGGGAAACUGCCUGAUGGAGGGGGAUAACUACUGGAAACGGUAGCUAAUACCGCAUAACGUCGCAAGACCAAAGAGGGGGACCUUCGGGCCUCUUGCCAUCAGAUGUGCCCAGAUGGGAUUAGCUAGUAGGUGGGGUAACGGCUCACCUAGGCGACGAUCCCUAGCUGGUCUGAGAGGAUGACCAGCCACACUGGAACUGAGACACGGUCCAGACUCCUACGGGAGGCAGCAGUGGGGAAUAUUGCACAAUGGGCGCAAGCCUGAUGCAGCCAUGCCGCGUGUAUGAAGAAGCCCUUCGGGUUGUAAAGUACUUUCAGCGGGGAGGAAGGGAGUAAAGUUAAUACCUUUGCUCAUUGACGUUACCCGCAGAAGAAGCACCGGCUAACUCCGUG